UGACAGAAUAUAAGUAUGGUAUUUUAGUCUAGCCAUAGGAUAUAAAUGUGGUGUUUUAGCUUGAUCAUAGGAUAUAAAUGUAGUUAUAGUUAAAAAGCAGAUGAGUUGACUGAAAUUUAUUUUAAAUCAAAUUUUUGAAUAUGAUUGUUUUUGAAAUCAGAUAUAUGAUUAUAUGUAUUUGAAUAUUUUAAAGAUGCUGACAUUAUAGAAUUCGUAAUUUGAAAAUAAAUUUGAUUAUAUUUAUGCAUUAAUUAAUGAUAAAUUAUAUUUUGACUAUAUCAUCCUAUAUUAUACCUAAUCAAAAUAUUCAUUGCUUAUUGGGUUG
rnacentral:lncRNA from 1 species